GACAGAGGGUGCAAACGUUGUUCGGAAUUACUGGGCGUAAAGCGCGUGUAGGCGGCCAAGCAAGUCGGAUGUGAAAGCCCUCGGCUCAACCGGGGAACUGCGUGUGAUACUGGCGGGCUUGAAUUCGGGAGAGGGAUGUGGAAUUCCAGGUGUAGCGGUGAAAUGCGCAGAUAUCAGGAGGAACACCGGUGGCGAAGGCGGAUCUCUGGGCCUUACCUGACGCUGAGACGCGAAAGCGUGGGGAGCAAACAGG
rnacentral:rRNA from 1 species